GUUAACCGAAUAGGGGAGCCGAAGGGAAACCGAGUCUUAACUGGGCGUUAAGUUGCAGGGUAUAGACCCGAAACCCGGUGAUCUAGCCAUGGGCAGGUUGAAGGUUGGGUAACACUAACUGGAGGACCGAACCGACUAAUGUUGAAAAAUUAGCGGAUGACUUGUGGCUGGGGGUGAAAGGCCAAUCAAACCGGGAGAUAGCUGGUUCUCCCCGAAAGCUAUUUAGGUAGCGCCUCGUGAAUUCAUCUCCGGGGGUAGAGCACUGUUUCGGCAAGGGGGUCAUCCCGACUUACCAACCCGAUGCAAACUGCGAAUACCGGAGAAUGUUAUCACGGGAGACACACGGCGGGUGCUAACGUCCGUCGUGAAGAGGGAAACAACCCAGACCGCCAGCUAAGGUCCCAAAGUCAUGGUUAAGUGGGAAACGAUGUGGGAAGGCCCAGACAGCCAGGAUGUUGGCUUAGAAGCAGCCAUCAUUUAAAGAAAGCGUAAUAGCUCACUGGUCGAGUCGGCCUGCGCGGAAGAUGUAACGGGGCUAAACCAUGCACCGAAGCUGCGGCAGCGACGCUGAUGCGUUGUUGGGUAGGGGAGCGUUCUGUAAGCCUGUGAAGGUGUGCUGUGAGGCAUGCUGGAGGUAUCAGAAGUGCGAAUGCUGACAUAAGUAACGAUAAAGCGGGUGAAAAGCCCGCUCGCCGGAAGACCAAGGGUUCCUGUCCAACGUUAAUCGGGGCAGGGUGAGUCGACCCCUAAGGCGAGGCCGAAAGGCGUAGUCGAUGGGAAACAGGUUAAUAUUCCUGUACUUGGUGUUACUGCGAAGGGGGGACGGAGAAGGCUAUGUUGGCCGGGCGACGGUUGUCCCGGUUUAAGCGUGUAGGCUGGUUUUCCAGGCAAAUCCGGAAAACUAAGGCUGAGGCGUGAUGACGAGGCACUACGGUGCUGAAGCAACAAAUGCCCUGCUUCCAGGAAAAGCCUCUAAGCAUCAGGUAACAUCAAAUCGUACCCCAAACCGACACAGGUGGUCAGGUAGAGAAUACCAAGGCGCUUGAGAGAACUCGGGUGAAGGAACUAGGCAAAAUGGUGCCGUAACUUCGGGAGAAGGCACGCUGAUAUGUAGGUGAAGUCCCUCGCGGAUGGAGCUGAAAUCAGUCGAAGAUACCAGCUGGCUGCAACUGUUUAUUAAAAACACAGCACUGUGCAAACACGAAAGUGGACGUAUACGGUGUGACGCCUGCCCGGUGCCGGAAGGUUAAUUGAUGGGGUCAGCGCAAGCGAAGCUCUUGAUCGAAGCCCCGGUAAACGGCGGCCGUAACUAUAACGGUCCUAAGGUAGCGAAAUUCCUUGUCGGGUAAGUUCCGACCUGCACGAAUGGCGUAAUGAUGGCCAGGCUGUCUCCACCCGAGACUCAGUGAAAUUGAACUCGCUGUGAAGAUGCAGUGUACCCGCGGCAAGACGGAAAGACCCCGUGAACCUUUACUAUAGCUUGACACUGAACAUUGAGCCUUGAUGUGUAGGAUAGGUGGGAGGCUUUGAAGUGUGGACGCCAGUCUGCAUGGAGCCGACCUUGAAAUACCACCCUUUAAUGUUUGAUGUUCUAACGUUGACCCGUAAUCCGGGUUGCGGACAGUGUCUGGUGGGUAGUUUGACUGGGGCGGUCUCCUCCUAAAGAGUAACGGAGGAGCACGAAGGUUGGCUAAUCCUGGUCGGACAUCAGGAGGUUAGUGCAAUGGCAUAAGCCAGCUUGACUGCGAGCGUGACGGCGCGAGCAGGUGCGAAAGCAGGUCAUAGUGAUCCGGUGGUUCUGAAUGGAAGGGCCAUCGCUCAACGGAUAAAAGGUACUCCGGGGAUAACAGGCUGAUACCGCCCAAGAGUUCAUAUCGACGGCGGUGUUUGGCACCUCGAUGUCGGCUCAUCACAUCCUGGGGCUGAAGUAGGUCCCAAGGGUAUGGCUGUUCGCCAUUUAAAGUGGUACGCGAGCUGGGUUUAGAACGUCGUGAGACAGUUCGGUCCCUAUCUGCCGUGGGCGCUGGAGAACUGAGGGGGGCUGCUCCUAGUACGAGAGGACCGGAGUGGACGCAUCACUGGUGUUCGGGUUGUCAUGCCAAUGGCACUGCCCGGUAGCUAAAUGCGGAAGAGAUAAGUGCUGAAAGCAUCUAAGCACGAAACUUGCCCCGAGAUGAGUUCUCCCUGACUCCUUGAGAGUCCUGAAGGAACGUUGAAG
rnacentral:rRNA from 1 species